AUACGGAGGGUGCAAGCGUUACUCGGAAUCACUGGGCGUAAAGCGCGCGCAGGCGGCUAUUUAAGUUGGAUGUGAAAGCCUACGGCUCAACCGUAGAACUGCAUCCAAAACUAUUUAGCUAGAGUGUGGGAGAGGAAGAUGGAAUUAGUUGCGUAGGGGUAAAAUCCGUAGAGAUAACUAGGAAUACCAAAAGCGAAGGCAAUCUUCUGGAACACUACUGACGCUGAGGCGCGAAAGCGUGGGGAGCAAACAGGAUUAGAAACCCUUGUAGUCC
rnacentral:rRNA from 1 species